UACGUAGGGGGCAAGCGUUGUCCGGAUUUACUGGGCGUAAAGAGCGCGCAGGCGGUCGGAUAAGUCGAAUGUGAAAGCCCCCGGCUCAACUGGGGAGGGUCAUUCGAUACUGUUCGACUCGAAGGCGGGAGAGGGAAGUGGAAUUCCCGGUGUAGUGGUGAAAUGCGUAGAUAUCGGGAGGAACACCAGUGGCGAAGGCGACUUCCUGGCCUGUUCUUGACGCUGAGGCGCGAAAGCUAGGGGAGCAAACGGG
rnacentral:rRNA from 1 species